rnacentral:rRNA from 1 species
CAGGCCUUGACAUCCAAUGAACUUUCCAGAGAUGCUUUGGUGCCUUCGGGAACUCUGAGACAGGUGCUGCAUGGCUGUCGUCAGCUCGUGUUGUGAAGUGUUGGGUUAAGUCCCGCAACGAGCGCAACCCUUAUCCUUUGUUGCCAGCGGUUCGGCCGGGAACUCAAAGGAGACUGCCAGUGAUAAACUGGAGGAAGGUGGGGAUGACGUCAAGUCAUCAUGGCCCUUACGAGUAGGGCUACACACGUGCUACAAUGGCGCAUACAAAGAGAAGCGACCUCGCGAGGGCAAGCGGACCUCAUAAAGUGCGUCGUAGUCCGGAUCGGAGUCUGCAACUCGACUCCGCGAAGUCGGAGUCGCUAGUAAUCGCAGAUCAGCAACGCUGCGGUGAAUACGUUCCC